rnacentral:rRNA from 1 species
UAGGGAAUAUUGGGCAAUGGAGGGAACUCUGACCCAGCCAUGCCGCGUGCAGGAUGAAGGCGUUAUGCGUUGUAAACUGCUUUUAUAUAGGAAGAAAUAGUCCUUGCGAGGAAAGUUGACGGUACUAUAUGAAUAAGCACCGGCUAACUCCGUGCCAGCAGCCGCGGUAAUACGGAGGGUGCAAGCGUUGUCCGGAUUUAUUGGGUUUAAAGGGUGCGUAGGCGGUUUAUUAAGUCAGUGGUGAAAGACGGUCGCUCAACGAUUGCAGUGCCAUUGAUACUGGUAGACUUGAGUAUGAUUGAGGUAGCUGGAAUGGAUAGUGUAGCGGUGAAAUGCAUAGAUAUUAUCCAGAACACCAAUUGCGUAGGCAAGUUACUAAGUCAUAACUGACGCUGAGGCACGAAAGCGUGGGGAGCAAACAGGAUUAGAUACCCAAGUAGUCCCUGAGCGGGCUGGCAAGGCGCAU